UGUCACAAAAGCUUGGUGCCUGGAG
rnacentral:piRNA from 1 species